GUAAGGAAUAUUGGUCAAUGGACGCAAGUCUGAACCAGCCAUGCCGCGUGGAGGAUUAAGGCCCUCUGGGUUGUAAACUCCUUUUAUCUGGGAAGAAAUGUACUUUUUCUUGAGUACUUGACGGUACCAGAGGAAUAAGCACCGGCUAACUCCGUGCCAGCAGCCGCGGUAAUACGGAGGGUGCAAGCGUUAUCCGGAUUCACUGGGUUUAAAGGGUGCGUAGGUGGGCAGGUAAGUCAGUGGUGAAAUCUCCGGGCUUAACCCGGAAACUGCCGGUGAUACUAUUUGUCUUGAAUAUUGUGGAGGUAAGCGGAAUAUGUCAUGUAGCGGUGAAAUGCUUAGAUAUGACAUAGAACACCAAUUGCGAAGGCAGCUUACUACACAAUCAUUGACGCUGAGGCACGAAAGCGUGGGGAUCAAACA
rnacentral:rRNA from 1 species